rnacentral:tRNA from 1 species
GGUUGUGGCUCAGUGGCAGACUGCUUGCCUACCAUGUGAGAAGCCCUGGGUUCGAUCCUCAGCACCA